rnacentral:rRNA from 1 species
AUUGAACGCUGGCGGCAUGCUUUACACAUGCAAGUCGAACGGUAACAGGUCUUCGGAUGCUGACGAGUGGCGAACGGGUGCGUAACACAUCGGAACGUGCCUAGUAGUGGGGGAUAACUACUCGAAAGAGUAGCUAAUACCGCAUGAGAUCUAAGGAUGAAAGCAGGGGACCUUCGGGCCUUGCGCUACUAGAGCGGCUGAUGGCAGAUUAGGUAGUUGGUGGGAUAAAAGCUUACCAAGCCGACGAUCUGUAGCUGGUCUGAGAGGACGACCAGCCACACUGGGACUGAGACACGGCCCAGACUCCUACGGGAGGCAGCAGUGGGGAAUUUUGGACAAUGGGCGAAAGCCUGAUCCAGCAAUGCCGCGUGCAGGAUGAAGGCCCUCGGGUUGUAAACUGCUUUUGUACGGAACGAAAAGACUCUCUCUAAUAAAGAGAGUUGAUGACGGUACCGUAAGAAUAAGCACCGGCUAACUACGUG